rnacentral:rRNA from 1 species
GAUGAACGCUGGCGGCGUGCCUAAUACAUGCAAGUCGAGCGAACAGACGAGGAGCUUGCUCCUCUGACGUUAGCGGCGGACGGGUGAGUAACACGUGGAUAACCUACCUAUAAGACUGGGAUAACUUCGGGAAACCGGAGCUAAUACCGGAUAACAUGUUGAACCGCAUGGUUCAACAGUGAAAGACGGUUUUGCUGUCACUUAUAGAUGGAUCCGCGCCGCAUUAGCUAGUUGGUAAGGUAACGGCUUACCAAGGCAACGAUGCGUAGCCGACCUGAGAGGGUGAUCGGCCACACUGGAACUGAGACACGGUCCAGACUCCUACGGGAGGCAGCAGUAGGGAAUCUUCCGCAAUGGGCGAGAGCCUGACGGAGCAACGCCGCGUGAGUGAAGAAGGUCUUCGGAUCGUAAAACUCUGUUAUGAGGGAAGAACAAAUGUGUAAGUAACUAUGCACGUCUUGACGGUACCUAAUCAGAAAGCCACGGCUAACUACGUG